GCCUGGCUGACUCAGUCAGUAGAGCAUGUGACUCUUGAUCUCAGGGUUGUGAGUUCAAUCCCCAUGUUGGGUG
rnacentral:tRNA from 1 species